rnacentral:rRNA from 1 species
CCUACGGGAGGCAGCAGUGGGGAAUUUUGGACAAUGGGCGCAAGCCUGAUCCAGCAAUGCCGCGUGCAGGAUGAAGGCCUUCGGGUUGCAAACUGCUUUUGUACGGAACGAAACGGCUCUUUCUAAUAAAGAGAGCUAAUGACGGUACCGUAAGAAUAAGCACCGGCUAACUACGUGCCAGCAGCCGCGGUAAUACGUAGGGUGCGAGCGUUAAUCGGAAUUACUGGGCGUAAAGCGUGCGCAGGCGGUUAUAUAAGACAGAUGUGAAAUCCCCGGGCUCAACCUGGGACCUGCAUUUGUGACUGUAUAGCUAGAGUACGGUAGAGGGGGAUGGAAUUCCGCGUGUAGCAGUGAAAUGCGUAGAUAUGCGGAGGAACACCGAUGGCGAAGGCAAUCCCCUGGACCUGUACUGACGCUCAUGCACGAAAGCGUGGGGAGCAAACAGGAUUAGAUACCCUGGUAGUCCACGCCCUAAACGAUGUCAACUGGUUGUUGGGUCUUCACUGACUCAGUACGAAGCUAACGCGUGAAGUUGACCGCCGNGGGUAAGGUACGGUCCGCGAGGUUAGUUAACGUUACGAAGGAAGUUAGACGGCGUUGAGACGUUGCCGACGGACGACGACGAGGGAGGAGG